rnacentral:rRNA from 1 species
UACGUAGGGUGCAAGCGUUAAUCGGAAUUACUGGGCGUAAAGAGCUCGUAGGCGGUUUGUCGCGUCUGUCGUGAAAGCCCACGGCUUAACCGUGGGUCUGCGGUGGAUACGGGCAGACUAGAGGCAGGUAGGGGAGAAUGGAAUUCCCGGUGUAGCGGUGAAAUGCGCAGAUAUCGGGAGGAACACCGGUGGCGAAGGCGGUUCUCUGGGCAUUACCUGACGCUGAGGAGCGAAAGUGUGGGGAGCGAACAGG